rnacentral:tRNA from 1 species
AAUAAGAUGGCCGAGCAUAGGUAGAAGAUUGUAGCUCUUCCAACGAGAAUUAACCUCUCUUAUUA